rnacentral:rRNA from 2 species
GGGUUGUGAGGUUAAGCGACUAAGCGUACACGGUGGAUGCCCUGGCAGUCAGAGGCGAUGAAGGACGUGCUAAUCUGCGAUAAGCGUCGGUAAGGUGAUAUGAACCGUUAUAACCGGCGAUUUCCGAAUGGGGAAACCCAGUGUGAUUCGUCACACUAUCAUUAACUGAAUCCAUAGGUUAAUGAGGCGAACCGGGGGAACUGAAACAUCUAAGUACCCCGAGGAAAAGAAAUCAACCGAGAUUCCCCCAGUAGCGGCGAGCGAACGGGGAGCAGCCCAGAGCCUGAAUCAGUGUGUGUGUUAGUGGAAGCGUCUGGAAAGGCGCGCGAUACAGGGUGACAGCCCCGUACACAAAAAUGCACAUGCUGUGAGCUCGAUGAGUAGGGCGGGACACGUGGUAUCCUGUCUGAAUAUGGGGGGACCAUCCUCCAAGGCUAAAUACUCCUGACUGACCGAUAGUGAACCAGUACCGUGAGGGAAAGGCGAAAAGAACCCCGGCGAGGGGAGUGAAAAAGAACCUGAAACCGUGUACGUACAAGCAGUGGGAGCACGCUUAGGCGUGUGACUGCGUACCUUUUGUAUAAUGGGUCAGCGACUUAUAUUCUGUAGCAAGGUUAACCGAAUAGGGGAGCCGAAGGGAAACCGAGUCUUAACUGGGCGUUAAGUUGCAGGGUAUAGACCCGAAACCCGGUGAUCUAGCCAUGGGCAGGUUGAAGGUUGGGUAACACUAACUGGAGGACCGAACCGACUAAUGUUGAAAAAUUAGCGGAUGACUUGUGGCUGGGGGUGAAAGGCCAAUCAAACCGGGAGAUAGCUGGUUCUCCCCGAAAGCUAUUUAGGUAGCGCCUCGUGAAUUCAUCUCCGGGGGUAGAGCACUGUUUCGGCAAGGGGGUCAUCCCGACUUACCAACCCGAUGCAAACUGCGAAUACCGGAGAAUGUUAUCACGGGAGACACACGGCGGGUGCUAACGUCCGUCGUGAAGAGGGAAACAACCCAGACCGCCAGCUAAGGUCCCAAAGUCAUGGUUAAGUGGGAAACGAUGUGGGAAGGCCCAGACAGCCAGGAUGUUGGCUUAGAAGCAGCCAUCAUUUAAAGAAAGCGUAAUAGCUCACUGGUCGAGUCGGCCUGCGCGGAAGAUGUAACGGGGCUAAACCAUGCACCGAAGCUGCGGCAGCGACGCUUAUGCGUUGUUGGGUAGGGGAGCGUUCUGUAAGCCUGCGAAGGUGUGCUGUGAGGCAUGCUGGAGGUAUCAGAAGUGCGAAUGCUGACAUAAGUAACGAUAAAGCGGGUGAAAAGCCCGCUCGCCGGAAGACCAAGGGUUCCUGUCCAACGUUAAUCGGGGCAGGGUGAGUCGACCCCUAAGGCGAGGCCGAAAGGCGUAGUCGAUGGGAAACAGGUUAAUAUUCCUGUACUUGGUGUUACUGCGAAGGGGGGACGGAGAAGGCUAUGUUGGCCGGGCGACGGUUGUCCCGGUUUAAGCGUGUAGGCUGGUUUUCCAGGCAAAUCCGGAAAAUCAAGGCUGAGGCGUGAUGACGAGGCACUACGGUGCUGAAGCAACAAAUGCCCUGCUUCCAGGAAAAGCCUCUAAGCAUCAGGUAACAUCAAAUCGUACCCCAAACCGACACAGGUGGUCAGGUAGAGAAUACCAAGGCGCUUGAGAGAACUCGGGUGAAGGAACUAGGCAAAAUGGUGCCGUAACUUCGGGAGAAGGCACGCUGAUAUGUAGGUGAAGUCCCUCGCGGAUGGAGCUGAAAUCAGUCGAAGAUACCAGCUGGCUGCAACUGUUUAUUAAAAACACAGCACUGUGCAAACACGAAAGUGGACGUAUACGGUGUGACGCCUGCCCGGUGCCGGAAGGUUAAUUGAUGGGGUCAGCGCAAGCGAAGCUCUUGAUCGAAGCCCCGGUAAACGGCGGCCGUAACUAUAACGGUCCUAAGGUAGCGAAAUUCCUUGUCGGGUAAGUUCCGACCUGCACGAAUGGCGUAAUGAUGGCCAGGCUGUCUCCACCCGAGACUCAGUGAAAUUGAACUCGCUGUGAAGAUGCAGUGUACCCGCGGCAAGACGGAAAGACCCCGUGAACCUUUACUAUAGCUUGACACUGAACAUUGAGCCUUGAUGUGUAGGAUAGGUGGGAGGCUUUGAAGUGUGGACGCCAGUCUGCAUGGAGCCGACCUUGAAAUACCACCCUUUAAUGUUUGAUGUUCUAACGUGGACCCGUAAUCCGGGUUGCGGACAGUGUCUGGUGGGUAGUUUGACUGGGGCGGUCUCCUCCUAAAGAGUAACGGAGGAGCACGAAGGUUGGCUAAUCCUGGUCGGACAUCAGGAGGUUAGUGCAAUGGCAUAAGCCAGCUUGACUGCGAGCGUGACGGCGCGAGCAGGUGCGAAAGCAGGUCAUAGUGAUCCGGUGGUUCUGAAUGGAAGGGCCAUCGCUCAACGGAUAAAAGGUACUCCGGGGAUAACAGGCUGAUACCGCCCAAGAGUUCAUAUCGACGGCGGUGUUUGGCACCUCGAUGUCGGCUCAUCACAUCCUGGGGCUGAAGUAGGUCCCAAGGGUAUGGCUGUUCGCCAUUUAAAGUGGUACGCGAGCUGGGUUUAGAACGUCGUGAGACAGUUCGGUCCCUAUCUGCCGUGGGCGCUGGAGAAUUGAGGGGGGCUGCUCCUAGUACGAGAGGACCGGAGUGGACGCAUCACUGGUGUUCGGGUUGUCAUGCCAAUGGCACUGCCCGGUAGCUAAAUGCGGAAGAGAUAAGUGCUGAAAGCAUCUAAGCACGAAACUUGCCCCGAGAUGAGUUCUCCCUGACUCCUUGAGAGUCCUGAAGGAACGUUGAAGACGACGACGUUGAUAGGCCGGGUGUGUAAGCGCAGCGAUGCGUUGAGCUAACCGGUACUAAUGAACCGUGAGGCUUAACCUUACAACGCCGAAG